UGUCAGACCAGUUCUAGCCACCAGGUUUCCUCCCUCCUCUCUCCGUCUGUUGUUUGGUUGGACAUAGGAGUAUAUUUGCUUAGCUUAGUUUAUUGAGAAUUAAUCAUAAUGUGAUUGAAGGUCAAUUUCAAAAUCUAAUGGUUUUUGGUUUGCCGCAGCAGCUAAGCCCAGGCUUGACCUCAACUUUUAUUUGGUAUUCAAAUUUAUGCCUAGUCCACUGCUUUUGAGCAACUUCAUUUAUGCUUUGCAGGGUUGUGAUGAUGAAGAUUGUUAUGCGGAGGUAUUAAAAGAUGACAUUGUCGACCUUGGCCAAUCUUUAUUGCCUCCAACUCCUAGUGAGAAAUCAGAGGAUAAGAGGAAGUCUCGGGACCCAGUAGAAGCAAUCCCGUUACGUGGCUUUCCUUUACAGGGUACAGCAAAUCGAAGAAUCC
rnacentral:lncRNA from 1 species